AUACGGAGGAUCCGAGCGUUAUCCGGAUUUAUUGGGUUUAAAGGGUGCGCAGGCGGCCAUUUAAGUCAGCGGUUAAAUCGUGGGGCUCAACCCCAUUCUGCCGUUGAUACUGGGUGGCUUGAUUGCGGUCGAGGUUGGCGGAAUUCGUUGUGUAGCGGUGAAAUGCAUAGAUAUGACGAAGAACACCGAUUGCGUAGGCAGCUGACCAGAUCGCAAAUGACGCUCAUGCACGAAAGUGCGGGGAUCGAACAGGAUUAGAUACCCUGGUAGUCCGCACAGUAAACGAUGAAUACUCGCUGUUUGCGAUACACGGUAAGCGGCCAAGCGAAAGCGUUAAGUAUUCCACCUGGGGAGUACGCCGGCAACGGUGAAACUCAAAUGAAUUGACGGGG
rnacentral:rRNA from 1 species